rnacentral:rRNA from 1 species
UACGUAGGGUGCAAGCGUUGUCCGGAAUUAUUGGGCGUAAAGAGCUCGUAGGCGGUCUGUCACGUCUGCUGUGAAAACUCGGGGCUUAACCCCGGGCCUGCAGUGGGUACGGGCAGACUAGAGUGCGGUAGGGGAGACUGGAAUUCCUGGUGUAGCGGUGAGGUGCGCAGAUAUCAGGAGGAACACCGGUGGCGAAGGCGGGUCUCUGGGCCGUAACUGACGCUGAGGAGCGAAAGCGUGGGGAGCGAACAGG